GCUGCUGUGGUCUAACGGUAUGAUGCUCGUUUCCCAUCGGAGCAAAUCCGGUUUAUUGCGGGCGACACGGGUUCGACUCCCGUCGGCAGCA
rfam:Arthrobotrys oligospora ATCC 24927 unplaced genomic scaffold scaffold00215, whole genome shotgun sequence.